rnacentral:rRNA from 1 species
UACGAAGGGGGGCUAGCGUUGCUCGGAAUCACUGGGCGUAAAGGGUGCGUAGGCGGGUCUUUUAAGUCAGGGGUGAAAUCCUGGAGCUCAACUCCAGAACUGCCUUUGAUACUGAGGAUCUUGAGUUCGGGAGAGGUGAGUGGAACUGCGAGUGUAGAGGUGAAAUUCGUAGAUAUUCGCAAGAACACCAGUGGCGAAGGCGGCUCACUGGUCCGAUACUGACGCUGAGGUGCGAAAGCGUGGGGAGCAAACAGG